AACACGAGCACUCCGCCAGAGCACUAGGUUGGAUCUAUAUGUCACUUAUUCCACCACGGCCAUUCAACCGCUUUUGCGUGCAGGACUUUAUUAAAUAUCAAGCUACAGACUAUAAUUAGGCAUAAUCACAAUAAGUGUUUUCAUUGAAUGAAUUCCAAUUUUGGCGCGAGUCUUUUUUUUUAGCGCGGAGUAUUACGGGAGUACAUCGCCCUUUAAAAAUAAAAAAGUCUCUCUUCUUUGCCAACACGUGCAUUGCCAGCCUCUGUUUGUGUGGGCUCUGACAUGCUGCAAAGAGGGUCAGACUGACCGCCGUUUUCUUUUUUUGCCAUAGUGUUUGGAAAAAAGAUAUAAUCUAUUACUAUUAAUACUUGGUGGGAAGAAAAAAAUGCCUAGCAAACCACAGUUGGAUCACCAGAAAAGCAAGAACAAGAAGAUGAAGAGCAAAGAAGAAGAAAAGCUGAGAGAAACAAACACAGUGAAACCUGUUAGAUGCAAGAGCAUGGACCCUCUGAUUAUAGAUUUUUCUUGUGAUGAAGCUGUUGAGUCUCAUUCUGGUGAAGCAGAGAAGAUCCAGGAUGAGAAAACAACAGGACCAUGAACAUCAUGUGAACUUCCAUCUGUUGGAUAUUUAACAGUUAGAGUCUUCCAUGGCUGCACAUUUGGAUCUGCACUUGCAUACAGCGAUAUGUUGUCUGCCGUUUGCAGAUUCCUGGCAAACAAGAAGACAAUAUAAGUUAUAACCGUAAUUAAAGUAAACUAUACCCGUUUUCUAUCUCCAUGCAGUAUAUAUUCGCAGUUUCUGGAAAAAAAAAAAAAAAAAGUGACAAUUUUAACAUGCUAUAAAAAAUUAUCUGUGGGGUAUUUUGAGCUAAAACUUCACAUACACACUCUGGGGACAUCAGAGACUUAUUUUACAUCUUGUAAAAAGGGUCAUAAUAGGUCCCCUUUAAGUGUGUUGGAGAAGUUGAUGAAUGUUUAAUUAUCAAAAAAAGGAGCAUUACUCUUUUCCUUCCUUCUUAAAGUAUUUAUUAUACUUUAUUGCUUGUUAAACUGUUUUCAUUUUCUGAGAACCAAUUAUAACUGACCCUUUUCUGCAUUUAUGGCACUUUAUUUUUCAAAACAAUGUCAAACAUUUUCGUUUUUGUCUGAGAACCAAAAAAUUGUCUGCUGUAAAACCUUACAUCAUAUGAAACUGAAGCAGUUUUCCUGUCAUUUGUCUUUGUUCGUCUCAGUUGUUGGGGUUGAUCAGAGGUAACACUUUCUGAUCAUUUGUUAUUUGCAUUUUUAAACAUGUUAUUAUUAUUACAUCAGUAUCAUCCUGUUUAGGAAUUUAAUGCUUAUUUUUAGUAGUAAAAUUAUAUACAACAUGAUAUAUGAUUUAAGU